rnacentral:rRNA from 1 species
UACAGAGGGUGCGAGCGUUAAUCGGAAUUACUGGGCGUAAAGCGCGCGUAGGCGGCUUUGCAAGUCGAGUGUGAAAUCCCCAGGCUUAACCUGGGAACUGCAUUCGAGACUGCAUAGCUAGAGUAUGGGAGAGGGAAGUGGAAUUUCAGGUGUAGCGGUGAAAUGCGUAGAUAUCUGAAGGAACAUCAGUGGCGAAAGCAACUUCCUGGACCAAUACUGACGCUCAUGUGCGAAAGCGUGGGGAGCAAACAGG